rnacentral:rRNA from 1 species
AUGGCCUACGGGACGCAGCAGUCGGGAAUAUUGCGCAAUGGAGGAAACUCUGACGCAGUGACGCCGCGUAUGGGAAGAAGGUUUUCGGAUUGUAAACCAUUGUCGUUAGGGAAGAAGAAGUGACAGUACCUAAGGAGGAAGCUCCGGCUAACUAUGUGCCAGCAGCCGCGGUAAUACAUAGGGAGCGAGCGUUAUCCGGAUUUAUUGGGUGUAAAGGGUGCGUAGACGGGAAUACAAGUUGGCUGUGAAAUACCUCGGCUCAACUGAGGAACUGCAAGCAAAACUGUAUAUCUUGAGUACUGGAG